UAACAUUUCAGUUUGUCUUAUAAAUAUUUUCACUGUUAAAUUUCAUCAUAUCCAGAUAAAGCUGCAGGAGACGAUGUCACGUACAUCCAAGUAUCACAUCGCAGACAGCAGCCUGUGAGACAAAGCAGAGACACUGAUCCAGCUGCAGUUUACUCAGCAGUGAGAACUGAAGAUGUCACUUAUGGAAAAAUCAUCAAAGACAAGAAAAAGCGAUCAGACACGAGAGAGUCUGAUGCAGCUGCAGUGAGAACUGAAGACGUCACUUAUGGAAAAAUCAUCAAAGACAAGAAAAAGCGAUCGGACAUGAG